GAUGAACGCUGGCGGCGUGCUUAACACAUGCAAGUCGAGCGAAGCAGUUAAGUUGAUUUCUUCGGAUUGAUUCUUAACUGACUGAGCGGCGGACGGGUGAGUAACGCGUGGGUGACCUGCCCCAUACCGGGGGAUAACAGCUGGAAACGGCUGCUAAUACCGCAUAAGCGCACAGAGCUGCAUGGCUCGGUGUGAAAAACUCCGGUGGUAUGGGAUGGGCCCGCGUCUGAUUAGGCAGUUGGCGGGGUAACGGCCCACCAAACCGACGAUCAGUAGCCGGCCUGAGAGGGCGACCGGCCACAUUGGGACUGAGACACGGCCCAAACUCCUACGGGAGGCAGCAGUGGGGAAUAUUGCACAAUGGGGGAAACCCUGAUGCAGCGACGCCGCGUGAGUGAAGAAGUAUUUCGGUAUGUAAAGCUCUAUCAGCAGGGA
rnacentral:rRNA from 1 species